UAUCAGGUAGUAGUGGGUGUAGCGUACCUACUAGCCUACGACGGGUACGGGUUGUGAGAGCAAGAGCCCGGAGAUGGAUUCUGAGACACGAAUCCAGGCCCUACGGGGUGCAGCAGGCGCGAAAACUUUACAAUGCCGGCAACGGCGAUAAGGGGACCUCGAGUGCCAGGUUACAAAUCUGGCUGUCGUGAUGCCUAAAAAGCAUUGCAUAGCAAGGGCCGGGCAAGACCGGUGCCAGCCGCCGCGGUAACACCGGCGGCUCGAGUGGUAACCGUUAUUAUUGGGUCUAAAGGGUCUGUAGCCGGCCGGAUAAGUCUCUUGAGAAAUCCAGCAGCUCAACUGUUGGGCUUUCAGGAGAUACUGUUCGGCUCGAGGCCGGGAGAGGUGAGAGGUACUUCAGGGGUAGGGGUGAAAUCUUGUAAUCCUUGAAGGACCACCAGUGGCGAAGGCGUCUCACCAGAACGGACCUGACGGCAAGGGACGAAAGCUAGGGGCACGAACCGGAUUAGAUACCCGGGUAGUCCUAGCCGUAAACGAUACUCGCUAGGUGUCGGCCACGGUGCGACCGUUGUCGGUGCCGUAGGGAAGCCGUGAAGCGAGC
rnacentral:rRNA from 1 species